AGUGAACGCUGGCGGUAGGCCUAACACAUGCAAGUCGAACGGCAGCACAGUAAGAGCUUGCUCUUACGGGUGGCGAGUGGCGGACGGGUGAGGAAUACAUCGGAAUCUACUUUUUCGUGGGGGAUAACGUAGGGAAACUUACGCUAAUACCGCAUACGACCUACGGGUGAAAGCAGGGGAUCUUCGGACCUUGCGCGAUUGAAUGAGCCGAUGUCGGAUUAGCUCGUUGGCGGGGUAAAGGCCCACCAAGGCGACGAUCCGUAGCUGGUCUGAGAGGAUGAUAAGCCACACUGGAACUGAGACACGGUCCAGACUCCUACGGGAGGCAGCAGUGGGGAAUAUUGGACAAUGGGCGCAAGCCUGAUCCAGCCAUACCGCGUGGGUGAAGAAGGCCUUCGGGUUGUAAAGCCCUUUUGUUGGGAAAGAAAAGCAGCAGGUUAAUACCCCGCUGUUCUGACGGUACCCAAAGAAUAAGCACCGGCUAACUUCGUG
rnacentral:rRNA from 1 species